rnacentral:rRNA from 1 species
UACCAGCACCCCGAGUGGUCGGGACGUUUAUUGGGCCUAAAGCAUCCGUAGCCGGUUCUACAAGUCUUCCGUUAAAUCCAGCUGCUUAACAGAUGGGCUGCGGAAGAUACUAUGGAGCUAGGAGGCGGGAGAGGCAAGCGGGUACUCGAUGGGUAGGGGUAAAAUCCGUUGAUCCAUUGAAGACCACCAGUGGCGAAAGGCGGCUUGCCAGAACGCGCUCGACGGUGAGGGAUGAAAGCUGGGGGAGCAAAGCCGGAUUAAGAAACCCGUAGUAG